GUGGGGUAACACCUACUGGAGGUCCGAACCCACUCCCGUUGAAAAGGUAGGGGGAUGAGCUGUGGCUAGGGGUGAAAGGCUAAUCAAAUCCGGAAAUAGCUGGUUCUCUCCGAAAACUAUUGAGGUAGUGCCUCCUGUAUUACUGCCGGGGGUAGAGCACUGUAAUGGUUGUGGGGGUCAUAGCGAUCUACCGCGCCAUAGCAAACUCCGAAUACCGGCAAGUACGAGCAGGGGAGACAGACAUCGGGUGCUAACGUCCGGUGUCGAGAGGGAAACAACCCAGACCGCCGAUUAAGGUCCCCAAGAUCUAGCUAAGUGGGAAACGAGGUGGGAAGGCUCAGACAGCCAGGAUGUUGGCUUAGAAGCAGCCAUCAUUUAAAGAAAGCGUAAUAGCUCACUGGUCGAGUCGUCCUGCGCGGAAGAUGUAACGGGG
rnacentral:rRNA from 1 species